rnacentral:piRNA from 1 species
UAUGUUAAAAGCACCUACUAUGUGCGUGGU